UAAACGUUAAAACGCUUUUGAAUUUUUCAGAAUGCACUGAUAUUUAAUUUACUGGGAAAUGUUCGAGUUUAGUUGGAAUUAAUAUAUUUAUUUUAAUGUAUAUUUAUUAAUAUAUGAAUUUAAAACUUGAAAUAUUUUAAAGUGAGGUCACAGCCGGAAUUGUGACGGUUUUGAAGCAGAGACCCAAGCGAAAAUGAUCCUGUCGCGGGCCAAACCGGCGACGCACGCCGGCACGGCCGGCCACGGGAAGCCGCAGCACGGCGCAAAGCAGGCGCCCCGGCUGGAGGAGUUCCUGGCCGCGCGCGACUACACGGGCGCGCUCACCGUGCUGGAGUUCGGCGGCGGCAAGGGGGACCCGGAGACGGAGCUGUGGGUCGGCUACUGUGCCUUCCACCUGGGGGACUACCGGCGGGCCGCCUCCGUGUACGAGGCGCUGGGCCACUCCAAGAGCCCGGCCCCGCAGGUCGCCCUCAACCUCGCCUGCUGCUACUUCUUCCUCGGCAUGUACCCGGAGGCCUACAGGGCGGCGGAGCAGGCGGAGGAGUGCGGACUGCGGACGCGCCUCAUGUUCCACCUGGCGCACAAGCUGGGCGACGAGGCGCGCCUCAUGCAGUUCCACCAACUGCUGGAGGACGUGACGGAGGACCAGCUGUGCCUGGCCGCCAUCCACUACCUGCGCAGCCACUACCAGGAGGCCAUCGACAUCUACAAGAAGCUGCUGCUGGACCACCGGGACUACCUGGCGCUGAACGUGUACGUGGCGCUGUGCUACUACAAGCUGGACUACUACGACGUGUCCCAGGAGGUGCUCCAGGUGUACCUGCAGGCGCACCCCGACUCGGCCGUCGCCAUCAACCUCAAGGCCUGCAACCACUUCCGCCUCUACAACGGCAAGGCGGCCGAGAACGAGCUGCGGACCCUGCUGGACCAGAGCUCGUCGUCGUUCAGCUUCGGGCGGGACCUGGUGCGGCACAACCAGGUGGUGUUCCGCGGCGGCGAGGCGGCCCUGCAGGUGCUGCCGGCGUUAGUCGACGUUGUCCCGGAGGCGCGGCUCAACCUCGUCAUCUACUACCUGCGCCAGGACGACAUCCACGAGGCCUACGCGCUCAUCAAGGACCUGGAGCCCGUCGUGCCGCAGGAGUACAUCCUGAAGGCCGUCGUCAACGCGGCCCUCGGACAGGAGAUCGGCUCUAGGGAACACCUGAAGGCGGCGCAGCAGUUGUUCCAAGUGGUGGGCAGCAGCAGCAGCGAGUGCGACACCAUCCCGGGCCGCCAGUGCAUGGCCUCCUGCCUGUUCCUGCAGCGCCAGUUCGAGGACGUGCUCGUCUACCUGGGCUCCAUCAGGAGCUUCUUCAGCGGCGACGACGCCUUCAACUUCAACUACGCCCAGGCGCAGGCUGCCAAGGGUAACUUCCGCGAGGCGGAGGAGGCCUUCCUGCUGGUGCAGAGCGACAAGCUGCGGGCGGACUACACGUACAUCAGCCACCUGGCCCGCUGCUACGUGAUGAACAAGAAGCCGCAGGCGGCCUGGGAGCUGUACCGCGCCAUGGAGACCUCCAGCGAGUCGUUCGGCCUGCUGCAGCUGCUGGCCAACGACUGCUACAGGAUGGGCCACUUCUGGCUCGCGGCGAAGGCCUUCGACGUGCUGGAGCGACUCGACCCCGGCCCGGAGCACUGGGAGGGCAAGCGCGGCGCCUGCGUGGGCGUGUUCCAGCGCGUCGUGGCCGGCCGCACGCCCAGGGAGACGCUGGCGGAGGUGAUCCAGCUGCUCCGGGGCACGGCCAACUCCCAGGUGGAGCACAUCAUCCGCGUCAUGAAGCGCUGGGCCAAGGACAACCGCGUCAACGUCUAGCCGCGCGCCGGGCGUCCCGCGCGUCACCACUCUAGUCACUUCUCGAGCACGCCUGUGAUACCGCACCAACAGCCACUCUGUUGCGCACAUGAGAGAUUGUGUGCCGUUUGCACAGCCCGACACGGUCUUUGGUAGACGCUAAAUUUGUUUUGGCCGUGCUGAGCGGCACGGCGAACGAGGAGGAUGGCAUGUGCGCAGAGCCGGGCCCCCAGACCGUGCUGGCUGGUGCAGAUCUGCCCGGGGGCCGUGCCCGACGCGUGUCCGUGAAAGAAUGUCCCGGCUACAAACUUCAAUCCUCAACCGAAAAGGGGCCGGGUUGCAGCCGACCCUGGUGGUGGUGAUGGGUGCAGAUCCGCCCGAGCUACUGAGGCUGAGGCGUGCGAGCUGCAGGAGGCAUUUCUCCAGGUGCCGCGCGAGUUUCGCAACCCGCCUGCCCUUGCGCAGAGCACAGAGCAGAUAUUCCCGAGCUGCCCAGACGAGAGUUGGUCGUCGGAGCGAGCGGAGGACGCGUGCUGUUGCCACGCGCUCAAGUCUCCACUGGAACACUGGCUGUGUGCGUCGACGUUCGCAGUCUCCAGUUGGUUGCGACUGCCACAGUCACUCUUCGUUCCAGGGAGGUUCUUGUUUUAUUUCCUUCUUGAUUCUAGGAAAUGUUUUCUAAACAAAUUAAUUAUCUCUUCCGCCUUUAGAUCUAGUUUUUUUUUUUAGUUGUAAUUUACAGUAUGAUAUUUUUUUUAAAUUGUGGUGAAGCAAUGCAGUUGAAAAUGGAUCUGUUAAAAUUAUUUUUGCGAGAUGUCAUUUAUGGGAUCUAUAUGUCAACCAUGUGUUAAAUUCGUCACAUUUUGUGACUUCUAAACAACAGAGUUACUAACUUUUUAAGACACAUGCUGCAUAGUUGUGAAAACUUUGAUAAACAGUAUGUACACAAAUUCAGAGAAUUACAUAUAUGUGUGUGUGAAGUAGAUUUUUGUAUGAUGUAUAGGGAAACAUUGCUAAUCUUACUUUGAGUUAUUACUAUGACAUAUUGUUAAACUUAAUGAUUGAUACAGCCAAUUGUGUUUUCCAUGAAAGUGCCUGACAGUGUAUUCAAAAUUGCAGUCAUUAGUGAGGGGGGGGGGGGGGGGGGACAUUUAUGUUGGCACAAUUUUAAAAGUAUAUUAUUAUUUAAACAUGAAAUUGUGUUUUGUUAUGUUAAAAUGCUUGAAGUUUUGUUUAAUAGCAGAGUUGUGAAAUCUAGUGAUAAGCUGGUAUAAACUUGAAGCUAAGCCCUUGCACUGCCUGUGAUGGAUUCUCCCUCACAACUAACAACUCCCGGGUCCCCCCACCAUUUGCUAACAUAACUUGUGUAUAGUGUUUGGUGUGCCAACUUUUUAUCAAUAAAUUUGCAUUGGAAAAGUAUCACAAAAUGGUAGAUGAUACCAUACCAGUCUUCUAAUGACUAAUUAACAGGUCAGUAACUGGACUGGUUUAUUUGAUUGACGUGUAUAUUUAAAUGUUGUCAAUGGAAAUUUUGUGUUCUUUUUGCAAGAUUGAAUUUGAAUAUCGUUUAAAUUUCAGUAAGCAGUUUGGUUAGAAUUUCUGACAGCCUAGUAACACAUGUUUACAUUGAUUCAUAAACAAUUUUUUUUUAAAUUCACGAAUAGAAAUUUACAAUAUCAAAUAUGAAAUAUUUUUCUAAUCAAAAUGUACAGUGUAACUAUGCCUCCAAGAAAUUUUUUUUGCAAAAAAAAAACCUGUUGAAUUUAAAAAAAACAUUAUUACAUAUAAAAAGUGUGUUUGACUGUAUAUGUUUGCAGAAAACACAUCCACAUUUCAGAAUAUCUUCUCAACUUAAUACAUGUUACAAUUUUGUCAUAUAGAUUUUUUGUGUUCGCAUUUGCUGUAUUUAUAGGCAACAGAUAAUGUGAAAAAUUAUUAGAUUUGUCUAGUUGAAUAUUUAACUAUUAAAAUUAAUACAUUUUGUAAAAUUGCAGACACCUGAAUGAAGUGUACCAAAACUGUUCUGUGUCUGGUAUUGCAUUACCUGAAAAAAUUUUUAUGUAAUUCUAUUUAAAUACAUAUAUGUCGUUGGCAUGUAUGUAAUGAUGCUAAGCAGGAAUGUUUGGAAAAUGUUUUUCAUCCAUAGCAGUAUUUACUGUAGUACAUUGUGGUUGGGCUUAAAACACAGGAAGGAAAACCAUAAAAAUAAAUGACCAUACAACUACAGCCAUGACUGCUGAUAAUAAUGACCACUGCACAAGCAGAUGUAUGUGAUUCUUGCAGGAGAUAAAUGCAUGCUGCCAUCUUUAACUUGCCGUUUUGGCCCUAUGCGCAGUUUGGCUCUCCGAUGAUUCUAGAUGGGAGACCGACUCAAAAAUUUAUAACUUGUCAAGUCCAUUAUGUAACUAGUAAAUAAUAAUCAAACUUUCAAAAAUAAUGGGCAAGUUAACCAUCUUACAUUUUCUGUUCUAACACCUUGAGUCUAGAUCUGCUAUCCCUAGAAUCAUUGGACAGCAAGUCGCAGAUGGCAACAUGUCUCGACCAAAUAUCUGUGAUAACAAAUGUAUUGUGUGUGCAAACUAUAAUUUGUAAAUAAGGUUCAAUUAAAUGUUAAUUUUAUGUAAAGACAAAAUUUUUUUUAAUAGUUGGAACCAUUGGUACUGUAUUUAUUGUAAAAUGCUAUUUGUAAUUAAAAAAUAAAAAUUUGUUUGGACAGAGAA